UCGAGGAUCUUCGGCAAUGGGCGCAAGCCUGACCGAGCGACGCCGCGUGUGCGAUGAAGGCCUUCGGGUUGUAAAGCACUGUCGAGGGGGAGGAAGCUCCGCAAGGGGUUGACCUAUCCCUGGAGGAAGCACGGGCUAAGUUCGUGCCAGCAGCCGCGGUAAGACGAACCGUGCGAACGUUGUUCGGAAUCACUGGGCUUAAAGGGCGCGUAGGCGGACGACCAAGUCAGGGGUGAAAUCUUUCGGCUUAACCGGAAAACUGCCUUUGAUACUGGUCGUCUGGAGUGAGGUAGGGGCAUGUGGAACUUCCGGUGGAGCGGUGAAAUGCGUAGAUAUCGGAAGGAACACCGGUGGCGAAGGCGACGUGCUGGACCUCAACUGACGCUGAGGCGCGAAAGCCAGGGUAGCGAACGGGAUUAGAUACCCCGGUAGUCC
rnacentral:rRNA from 1 species